GGGGGUAUAGCUCAGGGGUAGGGUUGACUGCAGAUCAAGAGGUCCCUGGUUCAAAUCCAGGUGCCCCCU
rnacentral:tRNA from 1 species